AUUGAACGCUGGCGGCAGGCCUAACACAUGCAAGUCGAGCGGAGCGGCGGACGGGUGAGUAAUGACUAGGAAUCUGCCCGGUAGUGGGGGAUACCGUCCGGGAACGGGCGAUAAUACCGCAGACUAUCAGAUGAGCCUCGGUCGGCUUAGCUAGUUGGUGGGGUAAAGGCGCACCAAGGCGACGCUCCGUCACCGGUCUGAGAGGAUGAUCAGUCACACUGGGACGGAGACACGGCCCAGACUCCUACGGGAGGCAGCAGUGGGGAAUAUUGGACAAUGGACGAAAGUCUGACCCAGCCAUGCCGCGUGUGUGAAGAAGGUCUUCGGAUUGUAAAGCUCUUUUAGUAGAGAGGCGGUACCUACAGAGUAAGCAACGGCUAACUUCGUGCCAGCAGCCGCGGUAAUUC
rnacentral:rRNA from 1 species